UUACCACAGGGAUAACUGGCU
rnacentral:snRNA from 1 species